UUUCCGCGUCUCAGCGGGAGUGUCGAAGUUAACGCGAUAAGUGCCCCGCCUGGGGAUUACGGUCGCAAGGCUGAAACUCAAAGGAAUUGACGGGGGCCCGCACAAGCGGUGGAGCAUGUGGUUUAAUUCGACGCAACGCGAAGAACCUUACCUGGGCUUGAACUGCUGGGUUUAGCUUCCUGAAAGGGAAGUGAACCUGCUUGCAGGAGACCAGCAGAGGUGCUGCAUGGCAGUCGUCAGCUCGUGUCGUGAGAUGUUGGGUUAAGUCCCGCAACGAGCGCAACCAUUGCCUUUAGUUGCCAGCGAGUCAUGUCGGCUACUCUAAGGGGACUGCCACGGAUAACGUCCCGGAAGGUGGGGAUGACGUCAAGUCAGCAUGGCCUUUAUGUCCAGGGCGACACACGUGCUACAAUGGGCGGCACAAAGGGACGCGAAACCGCAAGGUGGAGCUAAUCUUCAAAGCUGCUCUCAGUUCGGAUCGCAGGCUGCAAUUCGCAUGCGUGAAGUUGGAAUCGCUAGUAAUCGCGGAUCAGCCUCGCCCCGGUGAUACGUUCUCGGGCAUGUACACACCGCCCGUCACAUCACGAAAGUUGGUUAUACCCGAAGUCGUCAGGCUNACCUGUGGAGGCAGGCGCCGAAGGUAUG
rnacentral:rRNA from 1 species